GCACUGUUUGCAAUUCUCAUCCACGUACAAACACACUUCCUCGAUAGAAUUUUUCAGAUGGAUGGAGAGCCCAUUAUUCGAAAUUAGGCAGGGGACAAGACAAGGACCUUGAUAUUGAACUUCUUGCACUGAUAUGUCGACACAAAUCACAUGAUUUACGGGGCUUUGUUCAUACAUAUAUAUACGUCAAGACUAGCUCAUGUGUACCUCCUUACAACCGGAGAAUAUACAACAGGCGGCAUUGCCAACGAAUGCGAGCCCCCACCCUGUAAGUAGUUGCAUGUUUAUUGUUUGUUUCUUUGGUAAAAAUUUUUUCAUAAUCACUACUCAUCUUAUCUUGAGUUAAAUCUCUUACCCAGCCGAAAAGUGUUAAUUAGUGAUUGAUAAGAAAUGCACAAACCAACUAGUGUGUCUAGUGUGCACGGUUGACCUUGCUCUCAUCAAGAGAUCAAUUAAUAGCCAUUCAUAGAGGUAUUGGUGCUGGAUCAAUCAUGUAACUUCAUAACACAGAGGCUUUAGUCAUCUCUUCUGAUAACAGCAAAGAGAGGCUUAGUGGGUCCUUUCCAGGAUUCUGCAAUCUUUUGAUGUUUGUCUGGUAACAAUUUGAAGUGUCUGAUGGAUCGGCAUUACAAUAUACUGUCAGGUGAAAGCGAUGUUUAUAGUGAAGGAGAGAUGAUAGAAUCAUCAUCAUCUGGAAAACUAACUAGAACUGAAAUAGAUAGAAGCUUGGUUAUUAGCAGAUUCCUUAGUUACUACUACUGUGCUUGAAGAUAAUUAAAA
rnacentral:misc_RNA from 1 species